AGCGAACGCUGGCGGCAUGCCUAACACAUGCAAGUCGAACGAGACCUUCUGGUCUAGUGGCGCACGGGUGCGUAACGCGUGGGAACCUGCCCUUAGGUUCGGAAUAACUCCCCGAAAGGGGUGCUAAUACCGGAUAAUGUCUUCGGACCAAAGAUUUAUCGCCUUUGGAUGGGCCCGCGUUGGAUUAGCUAGUUGGUAGGGUAAAAGCCUACCAAGGCGACGAUCCAUAGCUGGUCUGAGAGGAUGAUCAGCCACACUGGGACUGAGACACGGCCCAGACUCCUACGGGAGGCAGCAGUGGGGAAUAUUGGACAAUGGGCGAAAGCCUGAUCCAGCAAUGCCGCGUGAGUGAUGAAGGCCUUAGGGUUGUAAAGCUCUUUUACCCGGGAUGAUAAUGACAGUACCGGGAGAAUAAGCUCCGGCUAACUCCGUG
rnacentral:rRNA from 1 species